CAGAGCAAUACCAACAUCAAGCAAAAAAGAAUAUUUGACAGAAUAUGGGUUUUGGCAAAAAAAAAAAAAAAAAUCACUAAAAAUGAAAACUUCCCUCUAGGCAGAAACUUCUCAGCAUGAAUUAGGAAUUGAAGACAAACAGAGCCCAGCUCUUAUAAAGGUGCCCCUCCUGAGCUCCUAAAAAGGACAAAAAUCUCCCACCCAUGGACCCAGCUGAGCCAGGAAGCAGUUUGUUGCCAAGGUCCCAUGUACAAUUCACUUUGAUGUCCUGCUGCUGAUAUCUUCUCUAAAGGGAAUUCAGGUUUUCCCACCUCCCACCCCCAUCGUAUCAGUAAGCAGCCCUGCACAGUAUCCUGCAGAGCCCACUGCAUCUCCUUGAUCAACCCUCCAGCAGUCUCAAGGAGGUCAGUCCACUCUUUUAGCCAAACUCUUGAGAGGUUUUCCAGCCUCCCACCACAGGAGACAGCGGGUGCUCCAGCAUGGUGAGGCUCCCUCUCAUAAAGCUGCUCCCUCAGAGUGGCAGAUCACACUGACUGCAGACGAAAUACCGGGUUAUGAAAGAAAAAGGCCCCCCCAUACAGCUUGUCUGGAUACUACACCCUCUACAUCUGCAUGCCUCAGCAGGAUCCAGGAUCUGAGCACAGAUGUAAGGAAUCUUGAACUACCUGCGGUGUUCAGCUCCUCCUACUUCAUAAGCAAAAGCUGUCAGUCCAGCCGGCACAAAACCACCAGCCCUCCGCUGCAGCACACCCUGGCCCCUCCAGCAGAUUUCUGUUGCUUGUAACAGAUUCUGCAGUGCCUGGAGCUAGAAGGCUGCCACCCAACUUUCCAGGUCAAUCAAGCUGUGACUGCCCUCCUGGACAGGCGGGUAAAGGACAGCAGCCCUCACCAGCUUCUUCAGAUUCGCUGCCAGGAAGCCACAAGAGGGAUUAAACACAGCCCAAUGGCAGCUGUGGAGGAGAAAACCCCCUACAGCGACAUUGCAGAGAUUUGGUCUCACCACUGCUGACCCUGAAAAAACACACUCUCUCAUAAAUCCAGAGGCUGUCCUCACUUGCCACACUGUCCUGCUCAUUCCUUAACUAUAUCUGUAAGGUCACCUGCAUGGGCAGCAAGCAGCAAUGCCUUUCUUAACUAUUAAAAAGUCCAAAUCUCUCCUUGGUAACCUCUUCCUCUUUCUUCCUUGACCACUAUCAAGUGGGCUAGAAAUUGGUAGUCUGUCCCUGUCUAACCCAAACUGAACCCCACACACCUUUACCAAUCAUGAGGCAUCAUUACAUUUUAACAGAUGAAAGGAGAUAAUGUCCAAUUCCAAAACAUGAAAGGAUUUUGAGAAGGUAAACAACUACCCUAUCAAAGUCUUUCUCCCAAUCCGGGGGGAGAGUCCCAAAGUCAGGAUUACAUAAUCAAGAUAACUUCAACAUGUUGUGCAUCGUGAACAAACUGUCCAACACCGAGCAUCGGGGGAACAGCAUCGGGCUGCAGAGAGGGAGAGAGAAAAAGAGAAACAGGGAGCAGGCAUGAGAGAGGAUGAUAUGGA